rnacentral:rRNA from 1 species
GUACACUCCUACGGGAGGCAGCAGUGGGGAAUUUUGGACAAUGGGCGAAAGCCUGAUCCAGCCAUGCCGCGUGCAGGAUGAAGGCCUUCGGGUUGUAAACUGCUUUUGUACGGAACGAAACGGCCUUUUCUAAUAAAGAGGGCUAAUGACGGUACCGUAAGAAUAAGCACCGGCUAACUACGUGCCAGCAGCCGCGGUAAUACGUAGGGUGCAAGCGGUAAUCGGAAUUACUGGGCGUAAAGCGUGCGCAGGCGGUUAUGUAAGACAGUUGUGAAAUCCCCGGGCUCAACCUGGGAACUGCAUCUGUGACUGCAUAGCUAGAGUACGGUAGAGGGGGAUGGAAUUCCGCGUGUAGCAGUGAAAUGCGUAGAUAUGCGGAGGAACACCGAUGGCGAAGGCAAUCCCCUGGACCUGUACUGACGCUCAUGCACGAAAGCGUGGGGAGCAAACAGGAUUAGAAACCCGAGUAGUCCCAUGAU